UGGGGAAUUUUGGACAAUGGGCGCAAGCCUGAUCCAGCAAUGCCGCGUGCAGGAUGAAGGCCUUCGGGUUGUAAACUGCUUUUGUACGGAGCGAAAAGGUCUGCCCUAAUACGGUGGGCUCAUGACGGUACCGUAAGAAUAAGCUCCGGCUAACUUCGUGCCAGCAGCCGCGGUAAUACGAAGGGAGCUAGCGUUGUUCGGAGUUACUGGGCGUAAAGGGCGCGUAGGCGGUAAGAUAAGUCAGAUGUGAAAGCCUUGGGCUUAACCUGAGAACUGCAUUUGAUACUGUCUAACUAGAGGACGAGAGAGGAAAGUGGAAUUCCGCGUGUAGCAGUGAAAUGCGUAGAUAUGCGGAGGAACACCGAUGGCGAAGGCAAUCCCCUGGACCUGUACUGACGCUCAUGCACGAAAGCGUGGGGAGCAAACA
rnacentral:rRNA from 1 species